UACAGAGGCCCCAAGCGUUGUUCGGAUUCACUGGGCGUAAAGGGUGCGUAGGUGGUCGGGUAAGUUUAAGGUGAAAGCUCCGGGCUCAACCCGGAAAUGGCCUUGAAUACUAUCCGGCUCGAGGGUUGGAGGGGGGACUGGAAUUCUCGGUGUAGCAGUGAAAUGCGUAGAUAUCGAGAGGAACACCAGUGGCGAAGGCGAGUCCCUGGACAACACCUGACACUGAGGCACGAAAGCUAGGGGAGCAAACGGG
rnacentral:rRNA from 1 species